AGCAACGCCGCGUGAGUGAUGAAGGUUUUCGGAUCGUAAAGCUCUGUUGUUAGGGAAGAACAAGUACCGUUCGAAUAGGGCGGUACCUUGACGGUACCUAACCAGAAAGCCACGGCUAACUACGUGCCAGCAGCCGCGGUAAUACGUAGGUGGCAAGCGUUGUCCGGAAUUAUUGGGCGUAAAGGGCUCGCAGGCGGUUUCUUAAGUCUGAUGUGAAAGCCCCCGGCUCAACCGGGAGGGUCAUUGGAAACUGGGGAACUUGAGUGCAGAAGAGGAGAGUGGAAUUCCACGUGUAGCGGUGAAAUGCGUAGAGAUGUGGAGGAACACCAGUGGCGAAGGCGACUCUCUGGUCUGUAACUGACGCUGAGGAGCGAAAGCGUGGGGAGCGAACAGGAUUAGAUACCCUGGUAGUCCACGCCGUAAACGAUGAGUGCUAAGUGUUAGGGGGUUUCCGCCCCUUAGUGCUGCAGCUAACGCAUUAAGCACUCCGCCUGGGAGUACGGUCGCAAGACUGAAACUCAAAGGAAUUGACGGGGGCCCGCACAAGCGGUGGAGCAUGUGGUUUAAUUCGAAGCAACGCGAAGAACCUUACCAGGUCUUGACAUCCUCUGACAAUCCUAGAGAUAGGACGUCCCCUUCGGGGGCAGAGUGACAGGUGGUGCAUGGUUGUCGUCAGCUCGUGUCGUGAGAUGUUGGGUUAAGUCCCGCAACGAGCGCAACCC
rnacentral:rRNA from 1 species